GAUUAAGUUAUUAAGGGCGCACGGUGGAUGCCUUGGCACUAGAAGCCGAUGAAGGACGUUACUAACGACGAUAUGCUUUGGGGAGCUGUAAGUAAGCUUUGAUCCAGAGAUUUCCGAAUGGGGAAACCCAGCAUGAGUUAUGUCAUGUUAUCGAUAUGUGAAUACAUAGCAUAUCAGAAGGCACACCCGGAGAACUGAAACAUCUUAGUACCCGGAGGAAGAGAAAGAAAAUUCGAUUCCCUUAGUAGCGGCGAGCGAAACGGGAAGAGCCCAAACCAACAAGCUUGCUUGUUGGGGUUGUAGGACACUCUGUACGGAGUUACAAAGGACGACAUUAGACGAAUCAUCUGGAAAGAUGAAUCAAAGAAGGUAAUAAUCCUGUAGUCGAAAAUGUUGUCUCUCUUGAGUGGAUCCUGAGUACGACGGAGCACGUGAAAUUCCGUCGGAAUCUGGGAGGACCAUCUCCUAAGGCUAAAUACUCUCUAGUGACCGAUAGUGAACCAGUACCGUGAGGGAAAGGUGAAAAGCACCCCGGAAGGGGAGUGAAAUAGAACCUGAAACCGUGUGCUUACAAGUAGUCAGAGCCCGUUAAUGGGUGAUGGCGUGCCUUUUGUAGAAUGAACCGGCGAGUUACGAUUUGAUGCAAGGUUAAGCAGUAAAUGUGGAGCCGUAGCGAAAGCGAGUCUGAAUAGGGCGUUUAGUAUUUGGUCGUAGACCCGAAACCAGGUGAUCUACCCUUGGUCAGGUUGAAGUUCAGGUAACACUGAAUGGAGGACCGAACCGACUUACGUUGAAAAGUGAGCGGAUGAACUGAGGGUAGCGGAGAAAUUCCAAUCGAACCUGGAGAUAGCUGGUUCUCUCCGAAAUAGCUUUAGGGCUAGCCUCAAGUGAUGAUUAUUGGAGGUAGAGCACUGUUUGGACGAGGGGCCCCUCUCGGGUUACCGAAUUCAGACAAACUCCGAAUGCCAAUUAAUUUAACUUGGGAGUCAGAACAUGGGUGAUAAGGUCCGUGUUCGAAAGGGAAACAGCCCAGACCACCAGCUAAGGUCCCAAAAUAUAUGUUAAGUGGAAAAGGAUGUGGCGUUGCCCAGACAACUAGGAUGUUGGCUUAGAAGCAGCCAUCAUUUAAAGAGUGCGUAAUAGCUCACUAGUCGAGUGACACUGCGCCGAAAAUGUACCGGGGCUAAACAUAUUACCGAAGCUGUGGAUUGUCCUUUGGACAAUGGUAGGAGAGCGUUCUAAGGGCGUUGAAGCAUGAUCGUAAGGACAUGUGGAGCGCUUAGAAGUGAGAAUGCCGGUGUGAGUAGCGAAAGACGGGUGAGAAUCCCGUCCACCGAUUGACUAAGGUUUCCAGAGGAAGGCUCGUCCGCUCUGGGUUAGUCGGGUCCUAAGCUGAGGCCGACAGGCGUAGGCGAUGGAUAACAGGUUGAUAUUCCUGUACCACCUAUAAUCGUUUUAAUCGAUGGGGGGACGCAGUAGGAUAGGCGAAGCGUGCGAUUGGAUUGCACGUCUAAGCAGUAAGGCUGAGUAUUAGGCAAAUCCGGUACUCGUUAAGGCUGAGCUGUGAUGGGGAGAAGACAUUGUGUCUUCGAGUCGUUGAUUUCACACUGCCGAGAAAAGCCUCUAGAUAGAAAAUAGGUGCCCGUACCGCAAACCGACACAGGUAGUCAAGAUGAGAAUUCUAAGGUGAGCGAGCGAACUCUCGUUAAGGAACUCGGCAAAAUGACCCCGUAACUUCGGGAGAAGGGGUGCUCUUUAGGGUUAACGCCCAGAAGAGCCGCAGUGAAUAGGCCCAAGCGACUGUUUAUCAAAAACACAGGUCUCUGCUAAACCGUAAGGUGAUGUAUAGGGGCUGACGCCUGCCCGGUGCUGGAAGGUUAAGAGGAGUGGUUAGCUUCUGCGAAGCUACGAAUCGAAGCCCCAGUAAACGGCGGCCGUAACUAUAACGGUCCUAAGGUAGCGAAAUUCCUUGUCGGGUAAGUUCCGACCCGCACGAAAGGCGUAACGAUUUGGGCACUGUCUCAACGAGAGACUCGGUGAAAUCAUAGUACCUGUGAAGAUGCAGGUUACCCGCGACAGGACGGAAAGACCCCGUGGAGCUUUACUGUAGCCUGAUAUUGAAAUUCGGCACAGCUUGUACAGGAUAGGUAGGAGCCUUUGAAACGUGAGCGCUAGCUUACGUGGAGGCGCUGGUGGGAUACUACCCUAGCUGUGUUGGCUUUCUAACCCGCACCACUUAUCGUGGUGGGAGACAGUGUCAGGCGGGCAGUUUGACUGGGGCGGUCGCCUCCUAAAAGGUAACGGAGGCGCUCAAAGGUUCCCUCAGAAUGGUUGGAAAUCAUUCAUAGAGUGUAAAGGCAUAAGGGAGCUUGACUGCGAGACCUACAAGUCGAGCAGGGUCGAAAGACGGACUUAGUGAUCCGGUGGUUCCGCAUGGAAGGGCCAUCGCUCAACGGAUAAAAGCUACCCCGGGGAUAACAGGCUUAUCUCCCCCAAGAGUUCACAUCGACGGGGAGGUUUGGCACCUCGAUGUCGGCUCAUCGCAUCCUGGGGCUGUAGUCGGUCCCAAGGGUUGGGCUGUUCGCCCAUUAAAGCGGUACGCGAGCUGGGUUCAGAACGUCGUGAGACAGUUCGGUCCCUAUCCGUCGUGGGCGUAGGAAAUUUGAGAGGAGCUGUCCUUAGUACGAGAGGACCGGGAUGGACAUACCUCUGGUGUACCAGUUGUCGUGCCAACGGCAUAGCUGGGUAGCUAUGUGUGGACGGGAUAAGUGCUGAAAGCAUCUAAGCAUGAAGCCCCCCUCAAGAUGAGAUUUCCCAACUUCGGUUAUAAGAUCCCUCAAAGAUGAUGAGGUUAAUAGGUUCGAGGUGGAAGCAUGGUGACAUGUGGAGCUGACGAAUACUAAUCGAUCGAAGACUUAAUCAA
rnacentral:rRNA from 4 species